UGGGUGAUGGCCUACCAAGGCGACGACGGGUAGCCGGCCUGAGAGGGCGACCGGCCACACUGGGACUGAGACACGGCCCAGACUCCUACGGGAGGCAGCAGUGGGGAAUAUUGCACAAUGGGCGGAAGCCUGAUGCAGCGACGCCGCGUGAGGGAUGACGGCCUUCGGGUUGUAAACCUCUUUCAGCAGGGACGAAGCGUAAGUGACGGUACCUGCAGAAGAAGCACCGGCCAACUACGUGCCAGCAGCCGCGGUAAGACGUAGGGUGCGAGCGUUGUCCGGAUUUAUUGGGCGUAAAGAGCUCGUAGGCGGCUUGUCGCGUCGACCGUGAAAACUUGGGGCUCAACCCCAAGCCUGCGGUCGAUACGGGCAGGCUAGAGUUCGGUAGGGGAGACUGGAAUUCCUGGUGUAGCGGUGAAAUGCGCAGAUAUCAGGAGGAACACCGGUGGCGAAGGCGGGUCUCUGGGCCGAUACUGACGCUGAGGAGCGAAAGCGUGGGGAGCGAACAGGAUUAGAUACCCUGGUAGUCCACGCUGUAAACGUUGGGCGCUAGGUGUGGGGGACCUCUCCGGUUUCCUGUGCCGCAGCUAACGCAUUAAGCGCCCCGCCUGGGGAGUACGG
rnacentral:rRNA from 1 species